CAAGCGGUGGAGCAUGUGGUUUAAUUCGAUGCAACGCGAAGAACCUUACCUGGCCUUGACAUCCACGGAAUUUGGCAGAGAUGCCUUAGUGCCUUCGGGAACCGUGAGACAGGUGCUGCAUGGCUGUCGUCAGCUCGUGUUGUGAAAUGUUGGGUUAAGUCCCGCAACGAGCGCAACCCUUAUCCUUUGUUGCCAGCACGUAAUGGUGGGAACUCAAAGGAGACUGCCGGUGAUAAACCGGAGGAAGGUGGGGAUGACGUCAAGUCAUCAUGGCCCUUACGGCCAGGGCUACACACGUGCUACAAUGGCGCAUACAAAGAGAAGCGACCUCGCGAGAGCGAGCGGACCUCAUAAAGUGCGUCGUAGUCCGGAUCGGAGUCUGCAACUCGACUCCGUGAAGUCGGAAUCGCUAAUAAUCGUAGAUCAGAAUGCUACGGUGAAUACGUUCCCGGGCCUUGUACACACC
rnacentral:rRNA from 1 species